UGUUUAACAAAGAGAAGCAAAGCCGCGAGGUAGAGCAAAUCUCAAAAAAACAAUCUCAGUUCAGACUGCAGGCUGCAACUCGCCUGCACGAAGUCGGAAUUGCUAGUAAUCGUAGGUCAGCAUACUACGGUGAAUACGUUCCCGGGCCUUGUACACACCGCCCGUCAAACCAUGAGAGUUGGCAACACCCGAAGUCGGUAGUCUAACCGCAAGGAGGACGCCGCCGAAGGUGGGGUUGAUGAUUAGGGUUAAGUCGUAACAAGGUACC
rnacentral:rRNA from 1 species